CAUGCAAGUCGAGCGAGUCGUGUAGCAAUACACAGGCGAGCGGCGAACGGGUGAGUAACGCGUGAAUAACCUACCCUUCAAUUGGGAACAACCGUGCUAACGCGCGGCUAAUGCCGAAUAUACCGGUUAAGCGACGUCGCUUAUUGGGGAAAGAUUAAUUGUUGGAGGAUGGAUUCGCGUCCGAUUAGGUAGUUGGCGGAGUAACGGCCCACCAAGCCUACGAUCGGUAGCCGGCCUGAGAGGGCGAACGGCCACAUUGGGACUGAGAUACGGCCCAGACUCCUACGGGAGGCAGCAGCAGGGAAUAUUGCGCAAUGGGGGCAACCCUGACGCAGCGACGCCACGUGUGGGAUGACGCAUUUAGGUGUGUAAACCACUGUCGUGAGGGAAUAGAGGCGGAUUUAGGUUCGCAGGAAUGUACCUCGAAAGGAAGCACCGGCAAACUUCGUGCCAGCAGCCGCGGUAAUACGAGGGGUGCGAGCGUUGUUCGGAAUCACUGGGCGUAAAGGGAGCGUAGGCGGACUUUCAAGCCGGGCGUGCAAAACCGAAGCCCAACUUCGGCAUUGCGCUCGGGACUGAUAGUCUUGGAUAGUUCAGAGGCAAGCGGAAUUCCUAGUGGAGCGGUGGAAUGCGUAGAUAUUAGGAAGAACACCGGAGGCGAAGGCGGCUUGCUGGGGACGAAUCGACGCUGCAGCUCGAAAGCGCGGGUAGCAAACAGGAUUAGAUACCCUGGUAGUCCGCGCCGUAAACGAUGUAUGCUUGGCGCACGAGGUUCAAAUCUUGUGUGCCGUAGCCAACGCGAUAAGCAUACCGCCUGGGGAGUACGCCCGCAAGGGUGAAACUCAAAGGAAUUGACGGGGGCCCGCACAAGCGGUGGAGCAUGUGGUUUAAUUCGACGCAACGCGCAGAACCUUACCAAGGUUUGACAUGGGAAAGUAAGGGGCGGAGACGCUCCCCCGUAGCAAUACGCUUUCUACACAGGUGCUGCAUGGCUGUCGUCAGCUCGUGUCGUGAGAUGUUGGGUUAAGUCCCGCAACGAGCGCAACCCGUGCCCUCGGUUGCCAAUAUGGCUCUCCGGGGGGACUGCCGG
rnacentral:rRNA from 1 species